rnacentral:ncRNA from 10 species
UUUGACCUCAAAUCAGGUAGGACUACCC